CCAAAAUUUUAUUUUAAUCCAACAUCGAGGUCGCAAUCUCUUUUUUCGAUAAGAACUCUUAAAAAAAAUUACGCUGUUAUCCCUAAGGUAACUUAAUCUUUUAAUCUUUAAAUAGGAUCAAUCAACCAUAAAUUAAUGUAUAAAUAUAAAAAAAGUUCAUUAAAUUUUUCAAUCACCCCAACUAAAUUAAUUUUUAUAUAAAAAAAUUAAUACUAAUAAUAUUUAUAUAUAAUUAAUAAAACUCUAUAGGGUCUUCUCGUCUUUUAUUCUAAUUUAAGCUUUUUUACUUAAAAAUAAAAUUUUAACUAAUUAAAAUGGAGACAGAUUUUUUCUCAUCUAACCCUUCAUACCAGCUUUCAAUUAAAAAACUAAUGAUUAUGCUACCUUUGCACGGUCAAAUUACCGCGGCCAUUUAAAUUUUCAUUGGGCAGGCCAGACCUUAAAUUAUAUUCAAAAA
rnacentral:rRNA from 1 species